AACGAGCGAAGAUUGAACUAAAAACGUCGUGAGAAAUCGCCACAGCGAACGAGAGUUGUGCAGAGUUAAGCUCGGUCGAACAGUGGUUCAGUUUUCCUCUAUUUUUUGGCACCCUAUAGUCGCUUCUGGAUUCAGUUGUGGUGCGAGCGUGACUCGCUAGCCAUUCCUGAUCGGUCCUUCGAUUAACGCUUUUCUCUGUAUAGAUUUCUGAGCGGCUUGGGACUUGGAGAUGGGAGUGGCACCGAUGAGUUAUGACAUGGAAGAGGGGAUGCUGGAGAUCGGCAUGGAGCAUAGGAUUGUCUAUGGUGUUGUUGGGCCGUUGGUUAUACUCGACAAAGUCAAGGGACCAAAGUAUCAAGAGAUUGUAAAUAUCCGCUCGGGAGAUGGAACAACUUGACGUGGGCAUGUCCUUAAAGUUGAUGGAGAGAAAGCUGCUGUGUAGGUACAGGGAGGACCAAACAGUUAGCAGAUUAAGCCAUCCUGAGCUGGUUUUCUUAGGUCCAAUGCGCCCAAGGGCUCUCACUACUCUUGAAUGGGCCGGCAAAUAUUCUGACGGAGCAUUCUUUUUCAAGGUGGUGAUGAGGCCAUCUCAUGUUAAGUAUGGCUUGGGAAUACCAAAGAGGUUCAAGAAAAUGCUUUUGAGAGAAUGGUGCAAUUAUUUGGCUUGUGGAAUUGGAAAAAUGUGAUGAGAUGAUUUGGCUAGCAAAGGGUUGGAAUGAAUUAGCGGAGCAUCACUCUAUCUGUGAGGGUCAAUUUUUGAUCUUCUAAUCUGAAGGGGACUCCAUUUUCCAUGUCACCAUAAUUGAUGAAAGGAUGUCCAAGAUAGAAUAUCCGCCAAUCAAUGUCGAUGUGAGGUACUGAGCCUCAGCAAUUGUAGAAUUGCCUUGCUGAAAGUGGAAGGUGCUUUUGAUUGCCGUGAUGUUUCAGUCGAGCUUGUAGUCUGGGGGGAUGAAUUGCAUUCAGCCAAGUGCCCUCGGUUUUGUAUGGAAAAGGAAUUUAAUCAGGUUUGCAAAGUUCAUGGC